GGGGGCUUAGUUUAGUGGUAAAACAAAGGUCUCCAAAACCUUAGUCAGGAGUUCGAUUCUCUUAGCCCCUG
rnacentral:tRNA from 1 species